CUGGGCUUGACAUGCAGGGUGAAGCCGGUGAAAGCCGGCGCUCUACGGAGCCUGCACAGGUGGUGCAUGGCUGUCGUCAGCUCGUGCCGUGAGGUGUUGCCUUAAGUGGCGCAACGAGCGCAACCCUUGUCCUCAGUUGCCAGCGGGUGAAGCCGGGAACUCUGGGGAGACUGCCGGUGCCAAACCGGAGGAAGGUGGGGAUGACGUCAAGUCAUCAUGCCCCUUAUGUCCAGGGCUGCACGCAUGCUACAAUGCGCGGUACAAAGGGCUGCGAUCCCGCAAGGGGGAGCGAAUCCCAAAAAGCCGCGCUCAGUUCGGAUCGGGGUCUGCAACCCGACCCCGUGAAGUCGGAGUCGCUAGUAAUCGCAGAUCAGCAAUGCUGCGGUGAAUACGUUCCC
rnacentral:rRNA from 1 species